UAAAUGUCACUCCAGACCAUAUCCUAAGCUCCUGAUAAUUAUGAAGGUAAACGUUUGCCUUCUCUCACCCUUAUUCCGCAAUCUUGAAUUGCGACACGCCGGGAAAACGACACAGGACGUCAGGAGGGGGUCAAUGGCCGGUACGCUAAUAAAUUUAGCGUGGAAUUUUGUCCUAUCUUGAUGAAAAGGGGAAGAGCAAAAGUGGAUAUCAGGUUAAAACCAGGAAGAUUUUUGACCUGAACUGUGUAAAAAUGAGCAAGCUCACUUUUCGUGGGGUGAUUAAAAGGAGAAAAAUUGAUGAGUUCCGAUCUGAAGUUUUCGCUGGUUACCACCGUUAUUGUGCUGGCAUUGAUUGUGGCCGGUGGUUUAACGGCUGCGCUGCACUGAUUC
rfam:Enterobacter cancerogenus ATCC 35316 E_cancerogenus-1.0.1_Cont0.4, whole genome shotgun sequence.